UCCUCUCCUUGAAACGUGACAGCCGUAUCCUAGUCUGAAAGUAAAAUGCCAGUUAUGUCCCUUACUCAAUCUAACAGACACGUGUGGAACAGCAGUCUUCUUUGCUUUGAUGAUAUUUAACGUCUUUUCUCUCGAUCUCUCAUCUCAACAGAGUUUCUGACAAUAGAUUUUGAUGGACCAAGCCUAUUCUCAUUGUCUUCUCUGAACUCUUCCCCCGCCCACUCCUUCUCUUUCAUGGCGAACGCUGCUGCUUCUUCCUUCUCCGUCGGUCCUUUGCAGUGUCAUUUAUGUCAAGUAGAAGGGGUUUAUUACUCACCUUUACAUGGGGUGAGAGGCAGUUGGAUCAAAGCUACGUUUUUCUGAUGGUUGUAAAGCUAUUGACUUAUCUAGCAUAAGGUGCGAAAUGGUUAUAUCUAAGCUUAUAUGGAAAGAGAAAACCAUUUCUGGAUUCUGUCAAAUUGAUCCAGUUUUUCUUUAUUAAUUUGUUUAUGAUUUUUUAUAGCAGUAUCUUUCCAUUUCUUUGGCAAGCCAUCUAUUUUUGAAGCUUAGAUUUUAUUGUGCAUGUGUCUGGCUUGUUGAUUUACAAGUACAAGUUAAAAAUUGCUUGAUAUUUUGGCUCAUUGCAUUUGUUGUGUGAUGGUUGUUUCUCCUGAGAGUUUUAUGUAUUAUUGUAAUGUUGUCUGGUGAGAAGGUCAAGUCUAUGUAUCAUACGUUUUAGCAAAUUGUACAAAUUGGUGAUUAACAGAUAUUUAUUUGCUCACCUAAAUAGGAAAGCAAUAUUAUUGUCAAGAUGUGUCUUGUGGAUCUUUCCAUCUGAUAAACUAUGAAUUUUGGUAUUAGCUUGGCUAAUGCAGUGAUAAUGUUGUGGGUAACACCUUAACACUCGUUGUUUCUGGAAGUGCUUGUUUGUUUUGUGGUCAAUAAGAAAAACAUGCUAGUUUGAUUAAAUUGCCUCUACUUUAAUGUUGUUUGGAUUCAAGGCAAUUCUACACCAAAAAUACGUUAAUGCAGUCAUGUUUGCUUUUGUAAUAUUUAUGGAAUGAAUGUAGUGUGGGUUAUUUGAGAGAUGGGCAUUGGUCUAAUGUCUAAAAAAAUGGAAAAAAGAAGAUAGGUAGCAUGUGAAGCAUGGUUCCAUCUAGCAUCCAUCAACCAUGACUCUACUGCUUUCUUGGUCUCCAUUUUUAAUAUUUUUGCAAUUUCAGAUGCAGGAAUCCAUUUUUGGGAUCAAUACAAUUUCAUUGGUUGUCUGAGUAACCAAGGUUAUCAUCCUCUUGAAGAACUGAAAGUUUGCAAAAGGAUCCGAGAAACAAAAUUAUCAUCAGCUGAAAUAGCAAGGACAACUGUUGAGGCUAACAGCAGUGCUUUGCUAGUCUUUCCUAGGACGGUACAUUCUAAACCUUAUGAACAGAUUUCGUGGGCUGAAUUUCAGUAUGUUGUUGAUGAUUAUGGAGGUAAGUUGAUGGAGUACCACUUUUGGUCUUUAUUAAGCUUUCUUUUUAUUAGUAUUUUAUUUCCAACUGUGUUUUUGGAUAAAUAACUUUCCAACUUUUAUUUAUAAAUUACAAUUUUUUCUUCUUUCAGAAUAUCUUAUUUCCAUUGAGGCUUUAGUUGUCUUUAUAUACAUUCUGGUAUGCUUAAUUUAUUAUUGUUUUGGGAUUUUGAAUACUGAAAUUAGUGUUUCUCUCUUUCCUUUUCCUUUCCUCUGUUUCUGUUUUCUUCUUCCCUUCUUGUUUAUACUGUCUUCCCAUUUCUCUUGGUUUAUUAUUGCUUUUAUCUCUCUCCUUAAAUAAUUAGUUCUCUUCUUUCAAUAAGUUCGCAUGGAGCAUGUUAUAUUAUAUUUACCUAAUUUAUGUGUUACCUUUCUUUUUCUAAAUUCAGAUUUUUUUUUUUUUGAAAAUUUUGAUGAUGAGAACAUCUUACAAGAUCGUGGAGAAAGUAACCUUGUGGUGAGGAUAUAAUUGCUUCUCAAAUACUGUAGCUUAAAUUAAGUUUGAUACCACUGCAUAUUUACUGCAAAGUUGAGUGUCUUUAAUUUAUCAUGGGUUAAUAUUGUGAAUGGCUCCUAGACAAUAGUGAAAUAUUCAUUGUGGUAUCCGAAUUUUAAAAAUUUUUAAUGUGAUAUUUGAACUACAAAUCUGUUAACUAAUGUGAUAUUUACUUUUAAUAUAACUAGUUUUAAAUAAUGACAUGUAACGGAUAAACCACCCUUUAAAUAUUAUAUUAGUUAACAAUUCAUAGUUCACAUAUCACAUCAAAGAUUUUUAAAAUUCAAUAUCACAUUGAACAUUUCAUUAUAAUUUAGGGACUAUUUAUAACAUUAAUCCAUUUAUCAUUUAGAAGUCACUAGGCUAACGGUUGCUAUGUAUCGACUGUACUAGUCAAUGCAUAGCUGAAGAAUAUGGUCAACAACGAAUAGAGAAGGCAAAAAAAUCCAAAACCGAUAGGUUCUGACCUUACUUGACUUCUUAAGAUUGAUUUAAAAAAAAAAAAAAAUCAAAUCGGGUUAAGUCGAGUGACAUAAAAAGAAUUUGAGGUCGGACUCGAGUUUUUGGCAAACCAAAUCUUAUCUAAUCCGAUAUAUAUAAAAAAAUUAUUUAUUUAAUUUUAUAUUU